rnacentral:rRNA from 1 species
CCCGCUGAACUUAAGCAUAUCAAUAAGCGGAGGAAAAGAAACUAACAAGGAUUCCCCUAGUAACUGCGAGUGAAGCGGGAAAAGCUCAAAUUUAAAAUCUGUCAGUCUUUGGCUGUCCGAGUUGUAAUCUAGAGAAGUGUUAUCCGCGCUGGACCGUGUACAAGUCUCCUGGAAUGGAGCGUCAUAGAGGGUGAGAAUCCCGUCUUUGACACGGACUGCCAGGGCUUUUGUGAUGCGCUCUCAAAGAGUCGAGUUGUUUGGGAAUGCAGCUCAAAAUGGGUGGUAAAUUCCAUCUAAAGCUAAAUAUUGGCGAGAGACCGAUAGCGAACAAGUACCGUGAGGGAAAGAUGAAAAGAACUUUGGAAAGAGAGUUAAACAGUACGUGAAAUUGCUGAAAGGGAAACGCUUGAAGUCAGUCGCGUCGUUCAGGACUCAGCCUUGCUUUGCUUGGUGUACUUCCUGUUCGACGGGUCAGCAUCAAUUUUGGUCGGUGGAUAAAGGCUUAGAGAAUGUGGCAUCUUCGGGUGUGUUAUAGCUCUGGGUCGCAUACAUCGGCUGGGAUUGAGGAACUCAGCACGCCGCAAGGCCGGGUACUUGUACCACGUACGUGCUUAGGAUGCUGGCAUAAUGGCUUUAAUCGACCCGUCUUGAAACACGG